rnacentral:piRNA from 1 species
UGGAACAUGGGAUGCCCUCUUACUGC